rnacentral:rRNA from 1 species
AUUGAACGCUGGCGGCAGGCCUAACACAUGCAAGUCGAGCGAGCGGCGGACGGGUGAGUAAUGUCUGGGAAACUGCCUGAUGUAGGGGGAUAACUACUGGAAACGGUAGCUAAUACCGCAUACCAUCAGAUGUGCCCCGAUGGGAUUAGCUGGUGGGUGGGGUAACGGCUCACCUUGGCGACGAUCCCUAGCUGGUCUGAGAGGAUGACCAGCCAAACGGGAACUGGGACACGGCCCAGACUCCUACGGGAGGAAGCAGUGGGGAAUAUUGCACAAUGGGCGCAAGCCUGAUGCAGCCAUGCCGCGGGGGUGAAGAAGGCCUUCGGGUUGUAAAGCACUUUCAGCGGGGAGGCGUUACCCGCAGAAGAAGCACCGGCUAACUCCGUGCCAGCAGCCGCGGUAAUAC